rnacentral:lncRNA from 1 species
AGUAAGGAUCUCUCACCCUAUUUCCUAUCACGGUAUUAAAGUCUAAUAAAUGAUAAAACGGUAUUUUAUGAAUUCAUGGAUAUGUAUAAUUAAUUAAGGUUGUUAAUGGAGCCCGAAUCUGAUAUGUUUUUCGGUCAGUUUUUGUUUGAUUUAUUUUACAGUCUAAAUGCAGUGUAGUAUCUGAUUUGUUUAUUCUGUGGCUUCGUAUGCAUGAUUCACUGUUUAAUUUAUUAUGGUUUCAUUAUUGUGAACCCGAUGUUAUGUUUGCCUUGUUUGGUGUUCGUUACUGGUUUACAUAUUCAUGUUUGAUUGGGGAAUCGAGACUAAGAACAAAUAGGAAUGGGAUUGAGUUAAUAAAUGGAUA